UGAGGAAUAUUGCGCAAUGGGGGCAACCCUGACGCAGCAACGCCGCGUGAGUGAGGAAGGUUUUCGGACCGUAAAGCUCUGUCGAGCGGGAAGAAAUGCAUAGUGGCUAAUAUCCAUUAUGCUUGACGGUACCGCUAAAGGAAGCACCGGCUAACUCCGUGCCAGCAGCCGCGGUAAUACGGGGGGUGCUAGCGUUGUUCGGAAUCAUUGGGCGUAAAGAGCGUGUAGGCGGCUGGAUAAGUCAGAUGUGAAAGCCCUGGGCUUAACCCAGGAAGUGCAUUUGAAACUGUUCAGCUUGAGUAAGGGAGAGGAAAGUGGAAUUCCUGGUGUAGAGGUGAAAUUCGUAGAUAUCAGGAGGAACACCGGUGGCGAAGGCGACUUUCUGGCCCUAUACUGACGCUGAGACGCGAGAGCGUGGGUAGCAAACAG
rnacentral:rRNA from 1 species